GGAGGGUUGACCGAGCGGCUAAGGAGCUCGCCUGGAAAGCGAGUAAGGUGUUAUAGCCCCGUGGGUUCGAGUCCCAUGCCCUCCGCCA
rnacentral:tRNA from 1 species